GUGUUUAAAGCAUUUUAUAAUCAGCUAAAUUGGUAAAAGCUGCAUCAUGUUGCUUCAAGAGGACUUUGUGGGUGAAGAAACAUCGUGUUUGUUGCAGGAGAAUCCUCUGUCAUCCUAAACCACUUCAACCUGGAAGAUAAACCUUCAUCAUCAUAUGUGACGUCCACGGCCUGACCCUGAGAAGAGCUCCGUCUCAGAGGUGCAAUCUGGGGAACCGGAGAAUCAGCUCAAGGAUGGAAAAAAUAACUCAAAGGAAACCAACUGGACCAAGUGCUGCCUAUGUCAGCAGGAUAAGAAGAAAGAGAUCCCCAGGCCAAUCCUGUCAAAAGAAGAGAUGACGGGUAUGUGAACUUGGCAAGGACUAUUCCACUGUGUCACUUACUCAAUGCACUACCAAUCAAGCUAGACCCUGCAAGGCUUACGAAGGUGGUGGGAUAGAGGAAACCUUGAGACAAAACAAGGCACAAUAUCACCAGAGUUGCAGGCUCUUGUUUAACACCACAAACACUGAGCUGAAAGAUCAACCCCAGCAGCUACUAGAGAUGAGGGUGGUAAAAGCAGGAACCCACGAAAUGUCCAAGAGACAAAAACAGUAGAGUAUUUCCUAUGUGAGACUAAAGGAGGUGAGCUAAGACAAGCACUGACUAAUGAAAGUGACUAUAGGCUUGUUCGAGAUGAACUGCGCCUCGCCUGGAAAGUAGAUGAGAUCAGGCGGCAGCAGCAAGGGGUGGUGACAAAAAGCUGCGGUAAUGUUGGACAGUUUCCAGCAGCCUUCUAAGAAUUUACAGGAAGUCACAGGAAAAGUGACAUCCUGUUAGAUCCGAUCUGUAGGCUACUUUAAGUUUGCAGACCACGUUGGGAUUUAUUUAUAUU